AAAUUAGUAGAGCUUGCAUUUAUAAAGUUGAGAUUAAUAAGUUACCGAUAUAAUGAAUUUUUUUUAAAAACCAAAUUAUUAACGAUUCACCUUCAUAAUCAGUAGAUAGUUUAAAUCAUUUAAACUACAUAAAUUGCUUAAUAUAAUAACAGUGAUUUGCUGAAUAGUAUAUACUGAUAUCUUUCUAUAAUUUUCUUCAAUUUCAUUUUGGAUUCUCUGUAAUAACAGUGGGGUAUCCUCGCUAUUGGUAGCCAAUGGAUUGAGAGGAGGUAAUUUCUUUUUACAUAAUUUCAUAAUCGACAUCGAUCAUAUGGACUUUCAAUUUAAAGCGAUAUAAGAAUCCUGUUCAACUAAGUAAAACCAAUUUAAUAAUAAUUACAGGAAUACUGACAGGGAAGAGAAUGAGACCUCAAAACAGUCUACCCGGCACUAAGCCAUAGCGUGUAGGUGUGCAUCUCAUAUUGGAAAAUAAAGCUCUGUUAUGUAAGUUCAGUACUACAAUUUUUAGGGAAAAUCGAAUAUAGAAAAAUAUUUAUAAGAAUAUGAAGAGAGUACAAUAGAUCUAUAGAUCUUUGAUAACAGAGGAUUAAAUGUAAUACAUGGAACUCGACACAAAUUUUCUUAAAAAUAUCAGUUUAUUGAAGGAACGUUAUCUACAUGAUCGUUUGAAAUAACAGUGGGUUAAAUGUUAUAUAUUAUAAAGUACCACACACUUAACAAAUACUCAAACUUUCUUUAAAACUUAUUAUUCCGGUAAGGACACAUUAUCAAUGCUUUAAAUGCGGAGUAUUUUAAAAUGGGCUACUAUCUGAACAUUUUUUUAAAAAGUCUUAGAAAUUGAGUGCGUUAUCUGAUAUCGCUAAGUGGCGCGUUGUCAAAUUCCUUGAACGCUGACGAAAUAGUUCAUGAGAGGUUAAAGCUAAUGCAGAAUAACAUCGUGUCAAUCCUACAAUUUAUAAAAGUACAGUAAAUAAGUCUUCAAUAUAUACUUCAGGAGAGAUAGAGAUAGAUACUGCAUCUACAUUAGUG